GGCGAGUGGCGGACGGGUGAGUAAUGCAUCGGGAUCUACCCAAACGUGGGGGACAACGUAGGGAAACUUACGCUAAUACCGCAUACGUCUUACGAGAGAAAGCAGGGGACCUUCGGGCCUUGCGCGGUUGGACGAACCGAUGUGCGAUUAGCUAGUUGGUAGGGUAAUGGCCUACCAAGGCGACGAUCGCUAGCUGGUCUGAGAGGAUGAUCAGCCACACUGGAACUGAGACACGGUCCAGACUCCUACGGGAGGCAGCAGUGGGGAAUAUUGGACAAUGGGCGCAAGCCUGAUCCAGCAAUGCCGCGUGUGUGAAGAAGGCCUUCGGGUUGUAAAGCACUUUUAUCAGGAGCGAAAUACUACCGGCUAAUAUCCGGUGGGGCUGACGGUACCUGAGGAAUAAGCACCGGCUAACUUCGUGCCAGCAGCCGCGGUAAUACGAAGGGUGCAAGCGUUAAUCGGAAUUACUGGGCGUAAAGCGUGCGUAGGCGGUGAUUUAAGUCUGCUGUGAAAUCCCCGGGCUCAACCUGGGAAUGGCAGUGGAUACUGGAUCGCUAGAGUGUGAUAGAGGAUGGUGGAAUUCCCGGUGUAGCGGUGAAAUGCGUAGAGAUCGGGAGGAACAUCAGUGGCGAAGGCGGCCA
rnacentral:rRNA from 1 species